GACAGAGGGGGCAAGCGUUGCUCGGAAUCACUGGGCGUAAAGGGCGCGUAGGCGGGACGGCAAGUCGGUCGUGAAAUCCUUCGGCUCAACCGAAGAACGUCGGCCGAUACUGCCGUUCUUGAGGGAUGCAGAGGAGAUUGGAAUUCCCGGUGUAGCGGUGAAAUGUGUAGAGAUCGGGAGGAACACCGGUGGCGAAGGCGGGGCUCUGGGCAUCUCCUGACGCUGAGGCGCGAAAGCGUGGGGAGCAAACGGG
rnacentral:rRNA from 1 species